UACGUAGGGCGCAAGCGUUAUCCGGAAUUAUUGGGCGUAAAGAGCUCGUAGGCGGUUUGUCGCGUCUGCCGUGAAAGUCCGGGGCUCAACUCCGGAUCUGCGGUGGGUACGGGCAGACUAGAGUGAUGUAGGGGGAGACUGGAAUUCCUGGUGUAGCGGUGAAAAUGCGCAGAUAUCAGGAGGAACACCGAUGGCGAAGGCAGGUCUCUGGGCAUUAACUGACGCUGAGGAGCGAAAAGCAUGGGGAGCGAACAGG
rnacentral:rRNA from 1 species